CAGGAAAACUGUCAAAAAUGUUUAGUUCUGCUUGGGUUGAGUUAAUUACAGGCCCUGGGGCUGUGUUGACUUUCUCCUGCUAAUGGCACUGUGCUACAGGUAAAAAUCCAUUUGCAAGAAUGUUUUCAGAGCUACAGAUCUAAUUUACUGAAUAUCAAAUAUUUAUGCCAUUGCAAUUAAAGUGACAAUGUUCCACCCCUCUUCACCAUGCAAGCUUGGGCUUUUUAAUAGAAUUUAUUAUACAGUAAACAUUUGGUAAAAAGUUUUGCUCGAGCUUAUAAUGUGAAAGCUUUGAAUAUUUUAUUGAUUUUAUUUCUUUUGCACUCAAUUCCUAUCAACACUGGAACGUUAUGAACUUCUGCAGCACGUAAAAAACCAUUUUUUACUGUCAGAGCCCUGCAAGCAUGCAUGGCAAGGCUGGGGCUGAAGGAUGGAGGCUUCGUCUUCGCUGUAUUUUUUGCAGGGAGGAAGAGAAGGAACUGAGGAGGGACAAAGUGUCAGGACCAGUCUGCCAAGGCUGGGGAAGCACAAGGAAAGCCAUUUUUACAUUGACACAGGGGAUGGGUAGGACCCUGGGGGACCUGCGCUGGUGGCGCUGGAUACCCACAGCCACCCAGGGACCCGCUCCUAGAGCCCUGAGGUUUUAACGAGCACCUCGGGAGCCUGUGAGGCUAAUGAGGCCUUUGGUGACAAACGGCAGAGUGGAGGGAGGGGAGAGGAUUGCUUUCUCCUCAGCUGUUUUGUUUUGCUUUGUUUUAUUUAACAGCAGAGAUAAGGUUGCGAAUUCUGUGCUUGGGGCACUUUGUGCGGCUCCUCUGAAUUUACCAAGCCCUCCCCACUCUCACCAGGAGAGCAUCUGCCCACUAUUUGGCUAUAUAAAUCUGCUGAACAUCCAUGUAGCAUGGUGGUUUCCAACACACCAGGUCUGACCGAGCUGUGGUCACCCAUGCAGGAGGGAUGUCCCACAGGCACAUGUUGUGCUGCUCGUGUCCCUGGUGGUCCUUCCGCAGAUGCAUUGAGCUGCAAACACCAAACAGAACACGUUGGCUCCUCCACAUUUAGUCCCCAGCCCAAAUAUGCCCCAGAACCAUGCAUCCAUGCCCCAUCACCCUGGCUCUGCGGUGACCAAGGUGCAGCCCACCCCUCCUGCCCUGACUCCUCCGUUCCCACCUCUGCCAAAUCUCUCCUCUGGGCACCGUCACCUCACCUUCACACCAAGCCUCCUGCCUCCUGCCUGGCGCUGAGGCCUCACGUGGCAUCACGGUGUCGCUGAGGAUGCUGCUGAAGUGCUCCUGGGAGUCAAGCCCCUGCCCAGCACCCUGAGGACAGCCUUAUUCUUGCCAACGUCCCUGCUGGGGAGGGCAAGGAGUGAAUGAAACCAGGACGACGUGAGAGGAGUUGUGCUUGGUGCAAGCCAGGUGUGGUGGGACCUCGGGAAGGGGAUGGGUGCAGGGCUGGCAGGAGCUGAGACAGAAGCCUUGCUGGGCAGUGAAAAAUGUGGAAAAUUGCUCCAGAUUAAAGGGUCUGAAGGUGGUUUGGUGGUUGGCAGUUCGAAGUUGCUGUGGAUGCUGCUUCAAACACAGGCUGCUCAGGUGUAAUGCUCGGCAGGUACUUGCACAUCCCAUCACCUCACAUCCCCACCAGAGGCAGAGGGCAGCACAGCCUCUGGGGAGAAGCAGGGAAAGGAAGGAAGGACAUGAGGAUCCCAUCCUGGAAAACGUCCUCCUCAUGGAGCCAAGCUCCAAUGGAUCCCAUACAGCUCGUGUAGACUUGGUGUUACUCAGCAGCGUCACAACCUGCUCACAGCCACCCUACUGAGGAAAACAUCAACUUGGGAUAGUCUGUGCCUCACGUCCAGGCUUGGGGGUGACUCAGGUAAAACCUGGGGAGAAGAAAAUCUCACCUAACCAUUACUGGACCCCACGAAGCCUCUGUCAGCCUGCAGUCAGGUAGCCAGAGGUCAGGACAUUUCUGUCUCCAGUAACACCAUCGGGUAGAGCAGCCAUACCUACCUUA